CUUCUGAGCCCUCCAAACUCUUCCAACCUAGAAGACUAGAGUAAAUAACUGAUCCUUCAGUGCAAAAACAGAGGAGACAUCCAGAAGAAACAACAGCAAACAGGGAACCAUGACCUUCUGUAAUGGACAAAGCAAGGAACCAGUGACUGACUCUAAUGAGACAGUGAUACAUGAACCCCUUGACCAAUUGUUCAAAACAGCAGUUUUAAGGAAACAGUGAUCGCCAAGAUAACACAUAAAAUCAAUUCAGAAAUGUUUGAGACUUUUGUUUUGUUUUGUUUUUGAGAUGGAGUUUCAGUCUUUUGCCCAGGCCAGAGUGCAGUGGCGUGAUCUCGGCUCACUGCAACCUCCGCCUCCCAGGUUCAAGUGAUUUUCCUGCCUCAGCCUCCGAGUAGCUGGGAUUACAGGUGCCUGCCACCAUGUCAGACUAAUUUUUGUAUUUUUAGUAGAGACAGGGUUUCUCCACAUUGGUCAGGCUGGUCUUGAAUUCCUGACCUCAGGCGAUCCACCCACCUCAGCCUCCCAAAGUGCUGGGAUUACAGGCAUGAGCCACUGUGCCCAGCCAAGAAAAAUUUAACAAAGAGAUUGAAAUAAUAAUUAAAAAAUCAAACAAACAGAAAUCUUGGAACUGAGAAAUACAUUUGCCAAACAGAAAAAUGCACUAGAGGCUCUUAACAGCAGAAUGGGUUAAGUGGAGGAAAUAAUUAGUGAGCUUGAAGACAGGCUAAUAAAAAAUAUGGCCAUAGGAGAAAAAAGAAGAAUGAAAAGGAAUGAAAAUUAUCUACAAGAUAUAGAAAAUUACCUCUAAACACCAAAUCUAAGAAUUAUUGGUAUUCAAGAGGGAUAUGUACAACAGCAAGGGGCAGAAACUCUAUUCAAAGAAAUAAUACCAGAAAACUUUCCAAAACUUGAGAAAUAUAUGAAUAUCCAGUACAGGAAGGUCAGAGAACAUCAAACAGAUUCUACCGAAAUAAGAGCACCCCAAGGCAUAAAAUAAUUUUCUCUCAAAAGUCUAAGAUAAAUAAAGGAUCCUAAAAGCAGCAAGAGAAAAGCAAAUAACAUAUAAAGGAGCAUCAGUUUGUCUGGCAAUAGACUGCUCAAUGGAAACCACAUUGGCCAGGAGGGAGUAGGAUGACAUUUUCAAAGUGCUGGAAAAAACAAAACAAAACAAAAUAACCCUGCCAUCCAGGAAUACUGUAUCCAGCAAAGUUGUCCUUCAAAUAUUAAGGAGAGAUGUAAUCUUUUUCAGACAAACAAAAGCAGAGAAUUCACCACCACCAGACUCAUCUUACAAGGAAUGCUAAAGAGAGUUCUUCAACCAGAAGGAAAAAAACCACCCCACGAACAUGCAAAAAGAAAACACUUGAAGGUAUAAAAUCCACUGGUAAAAUUAAAUACAUGGACAAACCCAGAAUAUUCUAAUAUUGUAAA
rnacentral:lncRNA from 1 species